UGGCUGUGAGGAAAAAAAAAUUGUUAACUGACUUUCUGUGAUUAUUUUAUACGCUAUUCUGAGCCAACU